CAGUAGCCGCGGUAAUACGUAGGGUGCAAGCGUUAAUCGGAAUUACUGGGCGUAAAGCGUGCGCAGGCGGUGUUGUAAGACUGAUGUGAAAUCCCCGGGCUCAACCUGGGAACUGCAUUGGUGACUGCAGCGCUGGAGUGCGGCAGAGGGGGAUGGAAUUCCGCGUGUAGCAGUGAAAUGCGUAGAUAUGUGGAGGAACACCGAUGGCGAAGGCAGCCCCCUGGGAUAACACUGACGCUCAUGCACGAAAGCGUGGGGAGCAAACAGGAUUAGAUACCCGCGUAGUCCCUGUCUCUUAUAA
rnacentral:rRNA from 1 species